rnacentral:rRNA from 1 species
AUGUACAUUCCUACAUCAUAUCAUUAAUGCAUCUGAUCCCAUUAGAACUCUGUAGUUAAGCAUGCUCAGGAUAGAGUAGUACUGGGAUGGGUGACUUCCCAGGAAGUCCUAGUGUUUUACAUU